UUUAUGAUGAUUGCUUGAGCCUGAGCUUGUUUGCCAGAUGCUUUCACUAGCCCAAGCUUGUUUUGUGGAUGCUUUCUGCUGCCAGCUACUUUGUAGUCCCUCCUGUGUGACAGCAUCUUGCCAUCAACGGGCUGCAGAAGAAGGGGUGCUUGUUGCUAUUGUGAGCAAACACUGCAUAAACAAUCAGCUCACAUGUGUGUCCCAGAGCGUAUGACCAAUGACCUGGAGAACUCUCAGGCUGUGGGGUGGAGAGAAGGCCAUUCUGAGGUCAACUGAAACCUCACUUGAGGGGCAGUUCCGUAGAUGGGAAUGAGGAGAGAGUCAUGGCCACAGCCACCUGGCCAAGGAGAGAGGCCAUAACUGCCAGACAGAACCAAGGAUGGAGGGACUUCAGCAGCACGAACAAUCCACACUCAGCAUGGGUCACUCUCUGGGACACACAUUUCCCUCUGGCUGAAAGGCUGAGCUGCUCCAGGGCCAACUGUGAGGUCAGACAGCUGCCCAGGGAUGUCUCCAGCCACUCAAGGGAAGAAGAGACCACUCACCUGUAAUUUCAACAGCAACAAAAGACCUGAGGUUCCACCAUCAGAACUUCACGCCCUAAGGAAGAUGCAGCAUUUCCUGUAAAAUGCAAGUGCUCCCAGGCAGAGGUAGCUCCCGAAGCCAUGAUCAGUUAUGUAUACCUUAGUGGCAGCUGAUUAACAGACUCUUCCCCAGAGCCAGCUGACAGGAAGCACAUCGGGGUAAAAGGGAAGAUGAAAACUUGGGUGCCUGGAGGAAGGGAACAAAUGCGAGCAGGAGCAUGGUAAUAACAUAGGUAAAAUAGCAGACGUUUAUACAUUACACCUGUGUGCCAGGCACUGUUGUAAGUACUGGAUAGAUAGACAGAUAAGUGGAUAGAUAGAGAGCUAGAGCUAGAGAGAGAGAGUGAGAGAGAGAGAGAGAUUUAUUCUGGCAAUAGUACAAUGCCAUGGGUGUUGUUAUCAUCACCAUUUUACAAAUCAGGAAACGGAGGCCCAGAAAGUUCACAUGUGCUGGUCUUUGCCCUCCAGACCCACCCUCCACCUUUCUCCUCCCUGCUCUGUGUCCUGAGGGCUGAUCUCUGCCCUCAACUUUACCCACUGCCUUGUCCUCUGGCUUCUAGUUGGACUCAGCCCACAGGGGCAUUGGCAGGAGUACAGGGGGUCAGAGUAUUUGCCCAGCUUCCUUCCUACCAGCCUUGGUUUUAGCAGAGCUGCUUUCCUCUUCCCCUGGCCACAGGUCCCACCCUCGGCCCCUCUCCCAGGGCUCUAGCUGCCACCACUUUCUUCACAUGCCCCUUGCCCUUGCUCCUGACCCCUCCAGUCCCAGAGGUUGCACAGCCUUCUGGGGCUGCCCCGUGCUUUGUGGGUUCUGCACACACCUCUGUAAACAGCCCCUCCUGCAAACUCUGCUCAAACAUCCAUCUCCUGUGGGACCCUGCUCAACAUCACUCAUCUGGUAAGAGCUAGAGGCGGAAUUCAAACCCUGGCCGUCCAGCUGCAGGCUGCCAAGAGCCUCUCAGCCACUAUGCCCGUGCCCCUCAUCAGUAAGUGUUGGCAACUCCUGAGCCUGCUGUGCAUCAGGGUCUCUGUGCAUUGCUCUAUGGAAUGGGAUCCCACAGGACUUGGGUCCUGAGGUCAGUGUUUAUGAGGGAACGUGGCAUUUGUGACUUUACAUGACAGUUGCGCUCAGCAGGGUGGACUCACCUGAUGCUCACAGGCCUGAAACUGACAGAGGGUCUGGAAUAUUCCUGCCAUUUGUCUUGUCCUCAGUCCUGACUGAGUGUUCUUUGAGCACUCAGCCAUAUUUGAGCACAACAGCCAUGUCAAAGAUGAAAAUCAGUCCAGGCUCUUUGCUUUGCCAAGGGGGAAACUGAGGCCCAAAGAGGGGUGUAGUUUGGGCCAGGUCUCCUGGCUCCAUAUGCCAGAGGAGGCAUACAGCUCUGAGCAGGAAGGAUGACUGUUUCCAUAGGAGAGCGCCAAACGCAAGGUUGGCAGGAGGGGUCGGAGCUCGGCGUCCUCACCACCACUGACAUUCCAAGGCUCCUCCGUUGAAAGCUUUAUUUGGAGCCUAAAAGCUGGUAAUUGGGAGAAGUCAGUGUGACUCAUAUACCAACACUGUUUUUGUUUUUCCUUUCUUAAAAUUCUCAACUACUGGCUAUUUUUAUUUCAGAGCCAGAAUUGAUUUCGUGGCUUUCUUUCUCCUCUUCUGGGAUUUUGUGCCCUAUUGCCACAGAAACCCUGGGCCCCUUCCCCAGCUGUCAUGAAGGUGCCUGAGUGAUGGUCAGAGAGAUGACCGGAGGGGCCCACCCGGCCACCGCAGCAGCAGCAGCCAAGGCGGGACUAAGCCUCCACACCCCACAUCUCAGUCGUGGCCAGCCCGGGAUGCCUGCCUCUCCUGCCCUGUGGUGUUGCUGUCCUCAUAUGACCCUUCAGUCCCCCGACAUGUGAGUCUCCUGGGGACUCAGACCUGCAGCUCCUCACUCAGUCCCUGCCUUGGCACCCCUCCCACCAAAAAGUCUUCUCCACAGGCCCUGGCUUGCUGCCCUCCCCCCAGACAUCCCCUGGUCUCCCCCAGCCUCCCCACCUCUAAACUCAUCAUUUGUGCUCUUCCUCCACAUGGCUACCAAAGUCAUCUUUCAUUUUUAAUUUGUAUUUAACCAAAAUAACAUAUAAGCACAUUAUUUUCAAAAAUAGUGCUACAAAUUCAGGAAUGCAAACUAGGAAUAUAAAUAAACUUUCUUUUUUCUCUGUUGCUCUCCUUCCUUCCUUCCUUUCCUUCCUUCCUUCCUCCCUCUCUCUCUUUCUUCCUGUCUCUCUUCUUCUCUCUUUCUCUCUCUCUUUCUUUCUCUCUUUCUUCCUUUUCCUUUCUUUCUUUCUUUCUCUUUCUUUCUUUCCUUCCUUCCUUCAUUCCUUCCUCCCUUCCUUCUCUUUCUUUCUUUCCUCCUUUCUUCUUUCUCUCUCUCUUUCUUUUAUUCUUUCUUUAUUCAAAGUCUUGCUCUGUUGCCCAGGCUAGAGUGCAUUGAUAAAAUCAGAGCUCACUGUAGCAUUGAUUUCCUGGACUCAAGUGAUCCUCCUGCCUCAGCCUUCCUAGAAGCUGGGACCACAGGAGUGUGCCACCAUGCCUGGCUAAUUUAAAAAAAUUUUUUAGAGAUGGGGUCUCACUAUAUUGUCCAGGCUGGUCUUGAACUCCUAGGCUCAAGCAAUCCUUCCACCUUGGCCUCCCAAAGUGCUGAGAUUACAGGCAUGAGCCAUCACACCCAGCCAGAAAUAAACUUUAUUAAGCUGAUAAAAGGGUACCUACAAAAAUCCUACCGCAGAUGUGAUACUUGGAGUACCAUGUGGAACACUUUCCCUCUGAAAUCAAGAAUGAGACCAGCAUGGUUGCACUGCCACUUUUAUUCAUCACUGCACAGCAGGUCUUAAUCAGUGACAUAAACAAGAACAGACAAAAAGAUAUGCAGGGGCCAGAACACAUUUUCUAAAUUCCUAAUAUUGUAAAAACAUUUUUAAUUAUUUUAUUGCUUAAAAAAUAAUAUAAACUACCUCAAAUCCUUAGAAGGAGCAAGGUAGAUGUGGAAAUUAAAGAUGCCACCAAUUAUUUGCUACUGCUCUGGGUCAAAUUCCUCUCUUCUUGCAGCUGGACAGGCUUUAGGGACCUGCUUGAGCAGAACAUGGUAGAAGUGAUGGACUGGGGCUUCUGAGGCUAAGCCAUAAGAAGCCUUGAGAAUUUCACCUGGCCCUCACUGUCUCUGGGAGCCCUGAGCCAUGAUAGAAGAAGUCCUUCCUAUAUUGAAUGUCCUUGAGACCUCCAGUACUGGAAAGGGCAUUUGUAGAUGCUCAGACCAACAGUCCAAACUGAGCCCAGUCUGCCAACUUGCCCUGCCAAGGUGUCAGAUGCAUAUGUGAAUGAGACCAUCCUAGACCUGCUGAUAGCCCAUCACCCGGCUGACUGCUACUGAGUAACCUCUGCCAACUUCACGCCGAACACAGAACUGCUGAUUUGAACUCUGCCUGAAUUUCUUGGCCCACAGAACAAUGAGAUAUAAUUAAAAGGCAAUGGUUCAAGCCAC